rnacentral:lncRNA from 1 species
GUGGAAACAGCAGCAUGUGCUGAAACACAAAAUGUGGUAACAGUUACCAAGUGGCUGUGGUCUACAAUUAAAGCAUACCAACAAUGCUAACCAAACUAACACUAAUAAGAUAGAUAGUAUUGUAAUGACAUAAGAAUGGUUUAGGUGGGAGAAACACUUAGUUUUCUCCUUUUUAGAACAUAAGCUCUGGAAUUUGCAGACAUGGUAAUGGCAGUUUCAUUGUUGUUCAGCAAAACAUAGAAACCAAAGUGGAGAGGCCAGUACGCUCCUAACAGCAAAGCAGAGUUACUUCUGUGUAAGAGGGUUGGUGGGGUUGGAAGUGUGUGUGAGUGUGUGCCUGACUCGUUAAGAGAGAGAGGCAAAAAGUACUGUGAAUGACUUAAAAUUGAUGGAAAGAAAAGGACUAGUUGAAUUAAUUGAGGGGGGGAGUCCAAAGAUUCAAGAAUGCUAAUAUUGAAAAUCAUCAAGAGAUUUAGAUAUAGCAGAUUUAUUCAAAAUUUUAAGAUAUUGAAUUUAUAUGUGUACAAAAGUUUAUCUUAAUUUAUCUUAUAACAUAAGCUUUAUGCAAUUAUUUGAGAGAGCCUAUAAAACCGUUAAUGACUCAUUUAUAAGUUGUUUAGAAUAUUUGCGAAUAAUAAUUUAUGCUUAUCUAUGACUUAUUUUUAGCUAAUUUUAAAAUGUUUCUCAAAUAAGUUUAUGAAUAAGCAUUUGUUUAAUUUGUUAACUCAAACACACCCUAUAUCUCUUAUAUUGUUUUUAUCACAUCCAUUCUUAACUAACAUAAUACUUCAAUUCACACUCGAGUUCUCGACAUUAAUACAAUUAGCGUUAUGGAUUUGUGUGUUUUGGGGAGACUCUUGAAUUAAUACCAUGUGGAUUAAAUGUUUUUGUGUGUUUAUAUACACUUGAGUGCAAUGUCAACCAACUCUCAUCCUAAUUUACAUACUUAUGCAAUUGCUUAUUUGUUAUUGGAGGAGCAAAUAAAUGAUAGCAUGGAAAAUGUUAACUGUAUGUACACUUUUUUUAGGCAUACAAUAGACACAAAUAUUGAAAUUCAAGAUAAAAAUGUGAAUGCAAAUUUCUUUAUAAAAUGAAAGGAAAAUCUAUUCAUGUUAUACUUAAUUUGUAUUCAAACCCACAUUAGACUUAAUUUAGGGAGAGUUCUACUUAUGUACAAAACUAAACUUGAAAUUUUACGUAUCAUUUAGAAGUAUCACUUGGAAUCAAUUAGUGAGACUUUCUUUAAGGGAUGUGUUAUUUUUCCCUAUUCAUACUUUCUAACAGUAAAUCAUUUCUUACUGGUAUUCCUAUUAAGUAUAUCAUGUUAGUCAGCAGCAGAGAUCAUCCUAAAUCUCUGCAAUGAUUAUAUGCAAAAAGUUGCUUCUUUAGCGCAAUUUGAAAACCUAUCUAAGCAAAUAAUGACAGCUCAAAGCUAUUGCAUUGAAAUAUACCAUACCAGACAGACUUAUGUCACAAGAUUACAGAUAUAAUUUUUUAGAUAAAUAGGUUGGAUCAUACACAAAACUUAUUCAUAAAUUUACAAUCUCAUGGAGCCAAUCAACAUAAGAACAAACCCAAAAUAGCAUACACCAGGAACAUCCAAAUCUGUAGAAUAGAUCAACUUAACUAUUUCUGAGCUAUGAGCUAUCUAUAAUAGAAGCACCUCUCUCAAUUGGAAUUAAUUUCCUUGGAGGGUACUGUUACCCAAACAAACAAGAAAGUAGAAACUAGAAAGUAAUAAUGAGCUACUCAAAUGGAUCAUGCAUGUCCAUAGUAGAAAGUAACAAAGGAACAUGUAAGUUAUGCCCAUACCUGCAUGUUCAUGAAGCUGUGGAGGAGAACUGGUAACUAAAUGUAGCUGAAUCAGUAGGAAAAUAAGGUGCAGACCCAUUUCCUUGUAAUGGAAUUGUAGAUCAAUGUCUGAAGAUCUCUUACUUAGAACUCACCGACAACCCAAAAUGAUGAAGAAAAUUGAAAGGAGUUUGGUGGUGGAAACAGCAGCAUGUGCUGAAACACAAAAUGUGGUAACAGUUACCAAGUGGCUGUGGUCUACAAUUAAAGCAUACCAACAAUGCUAACCAAACUAACACUAAUAAGAUAGAUAGUAUUGUAAUGACAUAAGAAUGGUUUAGGUGGGAGAAACACUUAGUUUUCUCCUUUUUAGAACAUAAGCUCUGGAAUUUGCAGACAUGGUAAUGGCAGUUUCAUUGUUGUUCAGCAAAACAUAGAAACCAAAGUGGAGAGGCCAGUACGCUCCUAACAGCAAAGCAGAGUUACUU